rnacentral:rRNA from 1 species
AUGAACGCUGGCGGCGUGCCUAAUACAUGCAAGUCGAGCUAACAGACGAGGAGCUUGCUCCUCUGACGUUAGCGGCGGACGGGUGAGUAACACGUGGAUAACCUACCUAUAAGACUGGGAUAACUUCGGGAAACCGGAGCUAAUACCGGAUAAUAUAUUGAACCGCAUGGUUCAAUAGUGAAAGACGGUUUUGCUGUCACUUAUAGAUGGAUCCGCGCCGCAUUAGCUAGUUGGUAAGGUAACGGCUUACCAAGGCAACGAUGCGUAGCCGACCUGAGAGGGUGAUCGGCCACACUGGAACUGAGACACGGUCCAGACUCCUACGGGAGGAAGCAGUAGGGAAUCUUCCGCAAUGGGCGAAAGCCUGACGGAGCAACGCCGCGUGAGUGAUGAAGGUCUUCGGAUCGUAAAACUCUGUUAUUAGGGAAGAACAAAUGUGUAAGUAACUAUGCACGUCUUGACGGUACCUAAUCAGAAAGCCAGGGCUAGCUACGUG